AUUACUGUUAUCAUCUUGAUAUGUCUGGUUUGUGUGCUGACUAUAUCUCUUGGUUUAAUGAUCUACUGUACCAUACAGUACAUUUCCUGUAAGUCAGUGGCGUAUCAGUGGGUUUUCCCGGCAUAAUGCAUGGUCUUGAUAAGUAACUCUGUGAGGAAAACCCAGGUGACAAUUUCAGACUCAAUAAUAUACUUUAUAUUCCAAAGUAAUGUAAAAAAAAUACUCAAAAAGAGUGUUUAAAGAGGAAGCCAAGGUAUCAACAUUUCAGAAGGACAAUUCAUCAGAGACAUCGUGACAACAUAAAGACUGUGAUUCUUGCUCUUUUUGUAUUGUUGGUUGUCAGCCAGAGUGAAGCCUUGAGGUGUAACUAUGGAGGCUUGCGGAUAUGUUCAGGAGCUCAAGUGGAGACCUGCUCCGGUUC